AAUUGCUCUCCACCCAGUGCCCCGGGGACCAGAGUGCCCAGGGCAUUAGCCUCGCUGGCCCUGCAGGGGACAGGGAAUCUUCUCCUUGCUUUGGCCCUGAUCCCAAUCCUGGUAAGCAACAGAAGCAACUGCUGCGUCUCAGCUACAACCUGGAGCCAGAGGGUUGGCCCUGCCUGCCUCCCCUCAGAGUGUGUGGCAGUGUGGACACCCUGAGCAGUGUGACCUUAGUGUCUGUCUGCCGUGUCUGUCUGCCAUAUCAGCCUGCCUCGGACUGAAACCUCUACAAACUUCGCAGGGAGCCUAGAUACCACCCAGGGACAUGUAUCUUGGUGACUGCAGCAAGAUAUACACAGAGGCAAGGAGACUGCAGAAACUUCGACUUUGGUAAGCUCAGCCAAAAGGCUUUUCAUGUCUUUAUUCCUUUCCUCUCUCUCCCUGUCUCAAAUCCUUUAACUUUUUCCUGGUACUAGUUAGCAGGGAGAGGCAGGGAACUGGAGAGUGGAGGAGCAUAGUGAGAGGGGGGAAAGGGAUGCCUGUGGUCUGCGUGUUUCAGGAGCACGCAGCCAGCUGGAAGGGCACCGCUUCAGCAAGCCCUUCUCAGCUGUCUGCCGCUGCCUUCCCCAGUCCUAGCACUGCGGUGCUUCUUGUCCAGUCCCUUCUCGGUGUUGCUUCCCUAAUCUAGUUUAUUUCCUCCUUCCCUCAUAUUUGAUGUCUGUAUUCUUACAAUUUUGGCUGUAAGUUUAUCUCCCUGUCUAAAUUGAUACGUGCUCGGUAGUUACUAAGUUACAUUUCUGGACUUUUUAAACCCUCUGUGAGUUCCGUGUGUGUGUGUGUGUGUGUGUGUGUGUGUGUGUGUGUGUGUGUGUGUUACAGUUUCCCUAAAUAUAAAGAUCGUUGUAGUAGAG
ensembl:lncRNA